UACGUAGGGGGCUAGCGUUGUCCGGAAUCAUUGGGCGUAAAGCGUGCGUAGGCGGCCCGGUAAGUCCGCUGUGAAAGUCAAAGGCUCAACCUUUGAAUGUCAGCGGAUACUGCCGGGCUAGAGUCCGGAAGAGGCGAGUGGAAUUCCUGGUGUAGCGGUGGAAUGCGCAGAUAUCAGGAGGAACACCAACGGCGAAGGCAGCUCGCUGGGACGGUACUGACGCUGAGGCGCGAAAGCGUGGGGAGCGAACAGG
rnacentral:rRNA from 1 species